rnacentral:rRNA from 1 species
UACGUAGGGUGCAAGCGUUGUCCGGAAUUAUUGGGCGUAAAGAGCUCGUAGGCGGUCUGUCACGUCGGCUGUGAAAUCCCGAGGCUCAACCUCGGGUCUGCAUUCGAUACGGGCAGACUAGAGUGUGGUAGGGGAGAUCGGAAUUCCUGGUGUAGCGGUGAAAUGUGCAGAUAUCAGGAGGAACACCGGUGGCGAAGGCGGUUCUCUGGGCAUUACCUGACGCUGAGGAGCGAAAGCGUGGGGAGCAAACAGG